rnacentral:hammerhead_ribozyme from 1 species
AUCCAGUUGACGAGUCCCGAAUAGGACGAAACGCGUGUCAUACUGGAU